GUCUACAGCAAUACCACCUUGAAUACCUCUGAUCUCUGAAGCUAAGCAGGGUUGGGCCUGAUUAGUAUUUGGAUGGGAGACUGCCUGGGAAUGCUGGGUGCUGUAGGCU
rnacentral:rRNA from 1 species